CCUACGGGUGGCAGCAGUGAGGAAUAUUGGUCAAUGGGCGGGAGCCUGAACCAGCCAAGCCGCGUGAGGGAAGAAGGUACAGCGUAUCGUAAACCUCUUUUGUCAGGGAACAAAGGCGGGGACUAGUCCCCGGAUGAGGGUACCUGAAGAAAAAGCAUCGGCUAACUCCGUGCCAGCAGCCGCGGUAAUACGUAGGAUGCGAGCGUUAUCCGGAUUUAUUGGGUUUAAAGGGUGCGUAGGCGGGCUGUUAAGUCAGCGGUCAAAUGUCGGGGCUCAACCCCGGCCUGCCGUUGAAACUGGCGGCCUCGAGUGGGCGAGAAGUAUGCGGAAUGCGUGGUGUAGCGGUGAAAUGCAUAGAUAUCACGCAGAACUCCGAUUGCGAAGGCAGCAUACCGGCGCCCUACUGACGCUGAGGCACGAAAGCGUGGGUAUCGAACAGGAUUAGAUACCCCGGUAGUC
rnacentral:rRNA from 1 species